GGUUGAAGCGAUUCUCCUGUCUCAGCCUCCCAAUGUGUAUUUUCUUUAAGGGAAUGAAUCUCAUUCAUAAGGUCUCUACCCAUACAACCUAAUUACCUCCCAAAGGCCCCACCUUCUGAUACUGUCACAUUGGGGAACAUGUCUCCCUUUUGAAUUUUGGGGGGACACAAACAUUCAGUCUGUAAUCAUUUAAUGGCCUUAUGAGGUUACUUGUUCUUUCACCUAGACCUCAAGUCGCAUUUAACAGCUAAUCAAGUAUAUCUUUCUCUGAUUUGAUAGUGUGACCUAAAAGGGGACCGUAGUUUAAAAUGUCAUUAGAGUUGGCCUGCACUGCGCGCAGCGCCAGAGUGUGAGCCUGAGCCGCGCCGGGCCCCACGUGGGGCUCCUGGGCCUCAGCGGCAGACAGGCGAUGCUCCAGCGGCCUGGCCAGCCAUGGAGGCCGAGGCAAGCGGCCUGGAGGAGCUGACCGACGAGAAGAUGGCAACGAUGGGCAAGGAAGAGCGGCGGGAGGAGGCGACACGCCUGGCGGCACUGGUGCGUUGUGACCGCCUCCUGGAGGAGGUGAAUCGGCAGCUGCAGGGCCACCUGGAAGAGAUCUGUCAGCUCAGUCGGCGCCUGCUGGCAGAGAACCAUGAACUGCACUACCUCUGCUGCUUUGUGGACUGAAGCGCCAGCGCGGGCGGCUCACCAGCGGAAGCUCUUUGGGACCCAAGCAUCCCAGACCGUGUGGGAGGACCUGGGCAGUGUGGCAGAAUACCGCUUUUUAAAUGAUUUUUUAAAAAUGUCAGGAACGGCCUUUAUUGGCUGCAGCGUUGCUCACGAUCCGAAAGCGUAAAUGAUUUUUAAAAAUUAAUUAUUUAUUUUCAUAUUUCUUGAAGUUAGUUUUAACUGAUGUGUAUCUGUAUGUGUAUUUGUGUGUAUUCUGUCAUGAUUAUGCAGCAGAGAUGUAAAAGUGUGAAAGAGACAGUUUUCAGGAACGACAAGCAGCUAUGCCUACUUUCCAAGUUAUUUUGAGGCUGUGGUGGCUCACACCUAUAAUCUGAGUACUUUGGGAGGCUGAAGCCGACAGAUCACUUGAGCCCAGGAGUUCAAGACCAGCCUGGGCAAUAUAGCAAGGUCCAUCUCUAUAAACGAGUAAAAAAAUAAGCUGGAUGUGGUGGUAUAUUCCUAUAGUCCCAGCUACUUGGGAGGCUGAAGUGGGAGGAUCCCCUAAGCCCAGAGACGUUGAGGUUGUGGUAAGCUGUCAUCACACCACUGUACUUCAGCAUGAGAGACAGAGUGAGAACCUGUCUCAGAAUAAAUAAAUAAAUAAAACCACCAGUACCAUGAACAACAACAAAAAGUUAUUUUGCACUUGUUUUCAGCGUAGGACUCCUGAGGGUGUCUUUGCAUUUAAUAUUGCAUAGGGGUGCCAGUGGGAAGUAAUGUGUAUGCGUGGCCUCAUGAACUGAAAUUCAACAUCCCUUCGUGUUAAAAACUCUCAAUAAACUAGGUAUUGAGGAAAAUAUCUCAAAAUAAUAAGAACCGUUUAUGAUAAACUCACAGCUAAUGUUAUACUGAAUGGGCAAAAGCAGGAAGCAUUCCCCUUGAAAACUGGUACAAAACUAGGGUGCCCUGUCUGACUACUCCUAUUCAACAUUGUAUUGGAAGUUUUGGCCAGGGCAAUCAGGCAGGAGAAAGAAAUAAAAGAUAUUUGAAUAGGAAGCAAGGAAGUAAAACUGUCUAUUUGCUGAAAGCCCCAUUGUCCCAGGGUAGAGUGCAGUGGCAUGAUCUUGGCUCACUGCAACCUCC